rnacentral:rRNA from 1 species
UACAGAGGGUGCGAGCGUUGUUCGGAAUUAUUGGGCGUAAAGGGCGCGUAGGCGGUCGUGACAAGUCACUUGUGAAAUCUCCGGGCUUAACUCGGAACGGUCAAGUGAUACUGUCGGACUAGAGUACAGAAGGGGCAACUGGAAUUCUCGGUGUAGCGGUGAAAUGCGUAGAUAUCGAGAGGAACACCUGCGGCGAAGGCGGGUUGCUGGGCUGAUACUGACGCUGAGGCGCGAAAGCCAGGGGAGCGAACGGG